UACGUAGGUGGCGAGCGUUAUCCGGAAUGAUUGGGCGUAAAGGGAGCGUAGGCGGACUUUUAAGUGAGAUGUGAAAUACUCGGGCUCAACUUGAGUGCUGCAUUUCAAACUGGAAGUCUAGAGUGCAGGAGAGGAGAAUGGAAUUCCUAGUGUAGCGGUGAAAUGCGUAGAGAUUAGGAAGAACACCAGUGGCGAAGGCGAUUCUCUGGACUGUAACUGACACUGAGGCUCGAAAGCGUGGGGAGCAAACAGG
rnacentral:rRNA from 1 species